AUGCUCAGCUAAUUUUUGUAUUUUUAAUAGAGAUGGGGUUUCACCAUAUUUGCCAGACUGGUCUCCAACUCCCGACCUCAAGUGAUCUGCCUGCCUCGGCCUCCCAAAGUGCUAGGAUUAUAGGCAUGAGCCACCAUGCCUGGCCUGAAUUUUAGCUAUUCUAAAAGAUUCUAGUGUGGAUCUGUCAGCUCACCUCUCACCUUCCUCUUGUGGCUGGUGGCUUCUAAAUCAAGAUCAUUAUUGCAAGAGAAAAGAAGGAUGGAGGAGGGUCUUGCUCUGCUGUCCAUGCUGGGAUGUGAUGGCAUGAUCUCAGCUCACUGCAACCUCUGCCUCCUGGGCUCAAGUAAUCCUCCCAUCUCAGUUUUCCAAGUAGCUGGGACUACAGGUGCUCACCAUCACACCCAGCUAAUUUUUUGCAUUUUUUGUAGAUAUGAGGUUUCACCCUGUUGCCCAGGCUGAUCCUGAACUCCUGAAAACAAGCGAUCCACCUGCCUUGGCCUCCCAAAGUGUUGGGAUUACAGGCAAGAGCCACUGCACCUGGCUCAAUAGGUAGUUUUUCCAUCCUCUCCCUCCUCACACCCUCUACCCUCCAAUAGGCCCCAGUGUCCGUUGUUCCUUCCAUCUGUCCAUGUGCUCUCAGUGUUUAGUUCCCACUGAUAAGUGAGAACAUGUGGUAUUUGGUUUCCUGUUCCUAUGUUAGUUCGCUAAGGGUGAUGGCCUCCAGCUCCAUCCAUGUUGCUGCAAAGGAUGUAAUCUCAUUCUUUUUAUGGCUACAUAGUAUUUCAUGGUGUAUAUGUACCACAUUUUCUUUAUCCAUUUUACUGUUGAUGGACAUUUAGGUUGAUUCCAUGUCUUUGCUAGUAUAAAUAGUGCUGCAAUGAACAUACAUGUGCAUAUGUCUUUAUGGUAGAAUAAUUCCUGGGAGUAGAAAUACUGGUUAUCAAACAGUUUAGACAUUUUAAAGUUUUUGAUAACAUUAAAUUUGCCAACCGAAAAGUUUUAUCAACUACCACUACAACCAAUAGUGUAUAAAAAUGACUAUUUCCCUGAAACCACCUGCACAAUAGGUAUGGUAACUUUAAAGUUUUUUUUGGUCAAUCUAAUGGCAAAACAUCCAAAGCUCAGAGCAGCAGCAGUUGCCUAGAUUUGUGGUAUUCUAGUAACCCUUGGUGAUCCUCACUUGGCAUUAAUCUUUAAUAUGGUAACAAAUGUUAUAUUAAUUAACUGUAAUUUAUUUGCAUACUUAACAUUAGCCCCUCUUGAACAAUGAAUGCAAACCUAUAUUAAAAAAGUUAAGUUCCUGAAAUUUAUUUAAUUGAUGUCAGCAACAUUGCUCAGACAAAGACAAUUAUUCUGUCUAUUGGUAGACUUUUGACUAAACGAUAUCAGAAAUUCCUUCUAUAGAGGAGAGUAAAAAAAUCACUAUCCUUUAACAUCUUUGUAGACAUGAAGUCAUCAGGUAUUCCUGUGUUUUUGAUCUUGGGUAUGGGUUUAUCUGUGGGAGGACAGAGUAGAAGGCUGAAAUGCUGUUCUAUUGUAUAAAUGAGACUUCAGGAAAUGAAGGAGUGUGAUGAAAAGUAAAAUUUUUCUUAAUAAAAAUUGCUAAGAAAUGAGUUUUAAAAAUAUU
rnacentral:lncRNA from 13 species